GAAGAGUAGGUAAAGCUGCUAAUGGAACACCAUGUUGAUACUUCAAUAUAUGAACUACAGAUGGCAGUUCACGUGUCUUUCUGCAGAUUUAAAACAGUGCUAAUAAUGUAGCUGCCUCAGAGGGCUGUUGUGUCUCUUUAUAGACAUGCCAUGGAAAAAAGCUUUGGGAAAUUCUAUGAUUCUAUGAUUCCUGUAUGAGUCUGCAGUUAUUACAAGCAGUAAGAUAGAAAAUAAAGAUUUUCAAGCCCUUUUUAUUCCUAACCCUAUUCUUAUAACAAUGGUAAUUAGAGCCAGGAAAUAAAUCCCUGAGCUAAAUGAGAUCCUGUUAUUUCGAUCCUAUUAACACUAUGCCCUCUUCCUACCCCUGAAGGCACUUUUGAAUCCAGAAGUAAUCACAGCUCUGAUUAUGUACAUUCUCAAAUUCUA
rnacentral:lncRNA from 1 species